AACUGUGAGCCACUAGCUAAUCCCUAAUGCUGUGUGUGGAACAAACCAUUUAAUUACUUCUUUGCCAACUAUAUUUCAUUGGACAAAUUAUUUUACUUCGUUAUAAACACUUGGCAAAUUUUUGCUGACGUUAGAUAUUUCUGUAUAAACGUCAUAUUAAUAUAAAUGAAUUUCAGAAACUGCCCAAUCUAAAUUCAGUUUAUUCACACCUUAUGGAAUGAUAUCAAUGACCAAUGAAGAUUCGUUUUGAAUGAAAUAUAAGCCCAAGAAGUGUUUAGUCGUAGUGUAACAUGACUGAGUACACCUGUGAUUGAUUAAAGCUCUUUUAGUUGUGACUAUCCUAUAUAUUUAUAUCCAGAACUAUGUUAACGCAUGUAUCCUUCCUUUUUUUUAUGACGAUGGAUUUUUGGUGGGGAGGAAUUGCUUGCUAUUUUUAGCAGGUCACACAACUAUAUAGAGGCUUCUUUGUUGGUAUGUGAUUCUUAUUUUGCUGUGUCAUGUAUUUGGAUUUAGCAUGGGUUGGAUGUGUAGAUGUUUUAAAUUUUGCGAGGAACCUUUUACCCAUGAUACUGGUGUCUUUAACCCAUUAGUGCCCAAAUUUUUUUUCUUUAUUAGCAAAAAUCCUUUUUUAAUACAACAUUGAUACUAAAUAUAUAUAAAAAAUAUUAUUACAAUAUUCUAAGAAGAAAAUACAUUUUUAGUUUGGUCCUUUUUUAGGACCAUGGGAAUAUGGGGUACUUUUGUUAAA
rnacentral:misc_RNA from 1 species